CCAAGAGAGAUCCAACAGUAAGAACUGCUAAUUCUUAUACCUGAGACUAACACCUCAGCUCCCUUA
rnacentral:tRNA from 1 species